UUUGAAUUUUGACCCAGAUAAUGGGUCGGACUGUGUCGCGAUUGUGUAUGAAAUUUUAGCGCCAUUCAGCAAGCCACGUCUCUUUCGAACUGCACUCAGAUUCAAUAGGCUUACAUGAAGAACUACCCGUCAGCAAGAGCAUCAGAUGUCCAGGAAUUGAUUGGGGAAACCAGGCGGAACACGCUAUAAGGAACCAAUUGCUAAGAGGGUACAAGAAGCAGUGCCGGACAUGCCAGGGACCCAGAAGCAACGUUCAGUAGUUUAGAAUAAACAAAGUUAACAAUCAAUUCUUCACUUUUUGAUAUACUUGUACAUGCAUCUUUUAUUUUCUAUUUUUAUUUUUUUAUAAAACUUUCAUGGGUGGGUGUUUAGCUAGUCAGAUACAUAUUCAGAACAUGAACAUGC